rnacentral:rRNA from 1 species
AGAGUUUGAUCCUGGCUCAGGAUGAACGCUAGCGGCAGGCUUAACACAUGCAAGUCGAGGGGUAUUAGUUUUCGGACUAAGAGACCGGCGCACGGGUGCGUAACGCGUAUGCAAUCUACCUUUUACAGAGGGAUAGCCCAGAGAAAUUUGGAUUAAUACCUCAUAGUAUAGCAGUUUCGCAUGAAACCACUAUUAAAGUCACAACGGUAAAAGAUGAGCAUGCGUCCCAUUAGCUAGUUGGUAAGGUAACGGCUUACCAAGGCUACGAUGGGUAGGGGUCCUGAGAGGGAGAUCCCCCACACUGGUACUGAGACACGGACCAGACUCCUACGGGAGGCAGCAGUGAGGAAUAUUGGACAAUGGGCGCAAGCCUGAUCCAGCCAUGCCGCGUGCAGGAUGACGGUCCUAUGGAUUGUAAACUGCUUUUAUACGAGAAGAAACACUCCUUCGUGAAGGAGCUUGACGGUAUCGUAAGAAUAAGGAUCGGCUAACUCCGUGCCAGCAGCCGCGGUAAUACGGAGGAUCCAAGCGUUAUCCGGAAUCAUUGGGUUUAAAGGGUCCGUAGGCGGUUUAAUAAGUCAGUGGUGAAAGCCCAUCGCUCAACGGUGGAACGGCCAUUGAUACUGUUAGACUUGAAUUAUUAGGAAGUAACUAGAAUAUGUAGUGUAGCGGUGAAAUGCUUAGAGAUUACAUGGAAUACCAAUUGCGAAGGCAGGUUACUACUAAUUGAUUGACGCUGAUGGACGAAAGCGUGGGUAGCGAACAGGAUUAGAUACCCUGGUAGUCG